rnacentral:lncRNA from 1 species
AUGAGUUUUGUUCGUGUCUAUGUAGGAAAACUCAUUGGGCCGAAGGUAAGGUGCCAUGGUGGUGAACGGGUGAUGGUGGCUUUGUCAUCGUCGGAGAAGACUUGAGGAUAAAACGUGAAGUAAAAUAUCCUAAACUAAACUGUUUAUAAUGUAGGAAAAUUAAUAUUAUAUGAUAAAAAAACAUCUCCUUAAAGUUAUUUAUAUAACGAAAAUUUGUCAAAAAUCUGAUACUGGCUAAUAGAACAAGGCGUCACGGUUUGGGUAAAAAAUUUCCUUUUUACUGACAAUUCUUACUUCAAAUUCUCAUAUUUAUUUCAUAGCUACCUACCCAUCAUUUAAUUUUAAUUAAUUUGAUUGAAUUCAAAAAUUUUGGUUAUUUAUUCUGACCGGUCACUUUACUCCACAUAAUAACUUAGAAAAAUAAAUAUGAUAUGAUAUAUACCCUAUCUUUUCAUCAACUUCCCCACCUAAAACACAGAAAAUAUUCAACAUAAAAAGAUAGAAAAACUGUGAAACAGUAUUCAUGAUUUUUGUUUAUAAACAAAAAAUUAUAUAAUAACACCCUCAGGCCGGCCAUGAUAGAGACAAAGAGAGUAAGAGAGAUAGAAGUACCACUUUGACUUUUGAGUGUGAUAAUAGUUUAUUCUGAAACUAAAGAAGACAAACUGUCUAUUUUUAAUGCUCCUUAAAUUUUCACAUGCGUAGGCCAACACAAAAGAAACUGCCAGGAGUAAUUUAACCAUGCAUUAUGAUUU